rnacentral:rRNA from 1 species
AACGAACGCUGGCGGCAUGCCUAACACAUGCAAGUCGAACGAGACCUUCGGGUCUAGUUGCGCACGGGUGCGUAACGCGUGGGAACCUGCCCUUAGGUUCGGAAUAACUCCCCGAAAGGGGUGCUAAUACCGGAUAAUGUCUUCGGACCAAAGAUUUAUCGCCUUUGGAUGGGCCCGCGUUGGAUUAGCUAGUUGGUAGGGUAAGAGCCUACCAAGGCGACGAUCCAUAGCUGGUCUGAGAGGAUGAUCAGCCACACUGGGACUGAGACACGGACCAGACUCCUACGGGAGGCAGCAGUGGGGAAUAUUGGACAAUGGGCGAAAGCCUGAUCCAGCAAUGCCGCGUGAGUGAUGAAGGCCUUAGGGUUGUAAAGCGCUUUUACCCGGGAUGAUAAUGACAGUACCGGGAGAAUAAGCUCCGGCUAACUCCGUG